rnacentral:rRNA from 1 species
CGGGUGGUAAUGCCGGAUGCUCCGGUUGGAUGCAUGUCCUUCCGGGAAAGAUUCCAUCGGUAUGGGAUGGGGUCGCGUCCUAUCAGCUUGAUGGCGGGGUAACGGCCCACCAUGGCUUCGACGGGUAGCCGGCCUGAGAGGGCGACCGGCCACAUUGGGACUGAGAUACGGCCCAGACUCCUACGGGAGGCAGCAGUGGGGAAUAUUGCACAAUGGGCGCAAGCCUGAUGCAGCGACGCCGCGUGCGGGAUGGAGGCCUUCGGGUUGUAAACCGCUUUUGAUCGGGAGCAAGCCCUUCGGGGUGAGUGUACCCUUCGAAUAAGCACCGGCUAACUACGUGCCAGCAGCCGCGGUAAUACGUAGGGUGCAAGCGUUAUCCGGAAUUAUUGGGCGUAAAGGGCUCGUAGGCGGUUCGUCGCGUCCGGUGUGAAAGCCCAUCGCUUAACGGUGGGUCUGCGCCGGGUACGGGCGGGCUGGAGUGCGGUAGGGGAGACUGGAAUUCCCGGUGUAACGGUGGAAUGUGUAGAUA